AAGAUCGGAAAUAAUGAGCUCUAAGCUCGCUCCGUAGGGUAACGUCUGGCUGUCUCGUCAGAGACUGCAGCAGAUCAAACAGUGAAUUACACAAGUGAAAUAAAAAGAAGUGAAUAUUACUAUAUUACCAACAGUUUUCAAGCAGCGCCAAGCAUCAAGCACCAAGCACCGAGCGGCAAGACAGCAGUGCAUGCUUUCCCCAUAACCUUCCACACUGCCUCAUCUUCAUCUAUUAAAGAUUUCAUGCACUGGCUUUUAUGUUUGACCAUCAUCGUCAUCAUGAGCUGUCCACUCCUACGCUGAUGACACCGGCCUGCCACGCUUGUCCUCAUCAUCUUUUCACAGACGGCCAACCCUUCACCAAGUAAACAGCUCAUACAGGGAACACUCACAACGCCUCACUUCACAUCUCUCACAUUGAUCUGGUUAAUAUUGGUUGGAGGGGGGGAUGAGAGGCGAGAACCGAGGCAAGGUCAGGAGUUCAGAACACUAGCUAAACAGUUACUACUCUAGACACCACGCCUGCUCCACCUUCCCUCCAGUCACCAUCGACCCCUGGAUUAUGCGUCCGGGUGUCUAUCUGUGCCUUGUCGUCGGGUGUGACGUCGUUCAGAACAGCAGCGGGGAGGUUGACCUACGUGAGAGGUUUUUCGUGGCGUGGAGUGACGUGCUGCUGCUGUGUGGAGGCCAGCGGACCACGGCACGGCACGGCACGGCACGGCACAGGAGCACAUCGGAGAGGAGUUGACGAUCCAAAGGCCUGACUCCACAGCGAUAGUGAGCCUCCUCUACCAUCAAGGAAACUUUAUCUUGCACUACGCCUUCACUGACAACGUUCACUACCAACACCUUUGCUUCGCCACCGCCUCAAGAUUGGGAAAGGCACUGUUUUGCAUCGCGCCCACACACACAGUAAACUCUAACGCCGCCGCUCAGAUGAUGGCUAGGUGGGUGAUAGCGAGGCAGGUGGUGUGGAGGCGGCCUGGCGACGGGAAAACGCAGAUGACGGCAGACACGGAAGAUUAAACUAACCAGAUGGGAGUUGCGAUCCAAAGGUCUGAUUGCAGCGAUCCCGUGCCUCCUGCAUCAUCAGGGAGGGACACUUUGCUUUGCACGGCGCCUUCACUAACCCUCCCUCCAUCACCCAACCAACACCGCCGCCGCUACUGCCACUCGGGGGGAGAGGCUGCCUCGCUUGGGGCCUUCAUUUCCGUCCCGCUAACGCAUGCCGCCGUCGCCACUCCUGCCAUUAAGGGAUUCCGCCUCGCAGCGGCCCAGCAAACACCUGCUACUACCACCCCCCGCCGCCGCCGCCGCAGCAGCAGCAGCAGCAGCAAGAAAGAUUCUGCAUGGCACCUUGACCCUGCGCGGUCAUCACCUACUGCUACUGGUACUCUGGUGGUGGUGGUCGUGUCCGUGGAGGGAAUAGUUGUGGGUUGGCAUGGGAGUCUUCCUCAGUGUGGUGGUGUAUGUACUUGGACAGCUGUGGUGUCUUCACUGCCUCAUUGUGUUUUCACUGUACUAAGAGCUGUUGUCACUAUUGAAUAAUAAAUUGUGAAAGAAAU
rnacentral:lncRNA from 1 species